UACGGAGGGUGCGAGCGUUGUCCGGAAUCACUGGGCGUAAAGGGCGCGUAGGCGGCGCGGAUAGUCGGCGGUGAAAGCCCGGAGCUCAACUCCGGGUCGGCCGUCGAUACUUCCGGGCUUGAGCACUGUAGAGGCAGAUGGAAUUCCGGGUGUAGCGGUGGAAUGCGUAGAGAUCCGGAAGAACACCGGUGGCGAAGGCGGCCUGCUGGGCAGUAGCUGACGCUGAUGCGCGACAGCGUGGGGAGCAAACAGG
rnacentral:rRNA from 1 species